GCUGGGCGCGGUGGUGCACGCCUGUAAUCCCAGCUACUCAGGAGGCUGAGACAGAAGAAUUGCUUGAACCCAGGAGGCGGAGGUUGCAGUGAGCUAAGAUCACACCAUUGCACUCCAGCCUGGGUGACAGAGCAAGACUCCGUCUCUA
rnacentral:sRNA from 1 species